rnacentral:sRNA from 1 species
GGGACGCGCCUGGCCGCUGUCCACCGCCCCCGACCCCCGCCCCCGAGCCCAUGGAGGCGCCGGGACCCCGCGCCUUGCGGACUGCGCUCUGUGGCGGCUGUUGCUGCCUCCUCCUGUGUGCCCAGCUGGCUGUGGCUGGUAAAGGAGCUCGAGGCUUUGGGCGGGGAGCCCUGAUCCGCCUGAAUAUCUGGCCGGCGGUCCAAGGGGCCUGCAAACAGCUGGAGGUCUGUGAGCACUGCGUGGAGGGAGACAGAGCGCGCAAUCUCUCCGGCUGCGUGUGGGAGCAGUGCCGGCCAGAGGAGCCAGGACACUGUGUGGCCCAAGCUGAGGUGGUCAAGGAAGGUUGCUCCAUCUACAACCGCUCAGAGGCAUGUCCAGGUAAGGGGGUUCUUGCGCCUAAGCCAAGUUGCAUGGGUCUCUCCAACCAUAGCCUGCCCCCCAGGAGGAAACAGCCUCUCUCAGGCGGUGGAUUUUGCUCACCAAUACCUGGGCCCGGUAUCAGUUCUACCUUUAGCUCACUGAGAAGUCCCCUCCUCUCUCUGCCUAUUUCCUCAUCUGAAAAUUAGUACAGGUGUGUGGAGGGAAUGGGAGCGUUAGCUCUUCUUCUAGUUUAAGGCAUAGCAAGGACUUUGGAAGUUCAGAGGGAAUGAGAGGGAGUGCUUCCUGGAAGAAGUGGCAUCAGUAAUGAGCCUGGAAGGUAGAGAUGGAGAGAGAGCACAUCUGGUGGAGGGAACUGUGUGACUGGGGCUUGCGAGUAUGUUGGAUGUCUAGAGCAGGGACAGGGCUGCAUCUGAAUCGGAAGUUUAGUGGUGAGUGGGGGCUGGGGUCUUGAUGGGAGUCAACGGGUGGGAAGGCUGCUUUGCUAUGGAUCCCCUGUCUCCUCAGCUGCUCACCACCACCCCACCUAUGAACCGAAGACAGUCACAACAGGUGA